rnacentral:rRNA from 1 species
GUGGUAAUGCCGGAUGUUCCACAUGAGCGCAUGCGAGUGUGGGAAAGGCUUUUUGCGGCAUGGGAUGGGGUCGCGUCCUAUCAGCUUGUUGGUGGGGUAACGGCCUACCAAGGCGUUGACGGGUAGCCGGCCUGAGAGGGCGACCGGCCACAUUGGGACUGAGAUACGGCCCAGACUCCUACGGGAGGCAGCAGUGGGGAAUAUUGCACAAUGGGCGCAAGCCUGAUGCAGCGACGCCGCGUGCGGGAUGGAGGCCUUCGGGUUGUAAACCGCUUUUGUUCAAGGGCAAGGCACGGUCUUUGGCCGUGUUGAGUGGAUUGUUCGAAUAAGCACCGGCUAACUACGUGCCAGCAGCCGCGGUAAUACGUAGGGUGCAAGCGUUAUCCGGAUUUAUUGGGCGUAAAGGGCUCGUAGGCGGUUCGUCGCGUCCGGUGUGAAAGUCCAUCGCUUAACGGUGGAUCCGCGCCGGGUACGGGCGGGCUUGAGUGCGGUAGGGGAGACUGGAAUUCCCGGUGUAACGGUGGAAUGUGUAGAUAUCGGG